CGCGUGGGAACGUACCCUUUUCUACGGAAUAACGCAUGGAAACGUGUGCUAAUACCGUAUGCGCCGGUAUCCUUUGGCGGGAUAUCGGGAAAGAUUUAUCGGGGAAGGAGCGGCCCGCGUUGGAUUAGCUAGUUGGUGGGGUAAAGGCCUACCAAGGCGACGAUCCAUAGCUGGUCUGAGAGGAUGAUCAGCCACAUUGGGACUGAGACACGGCCCAA
rnacentral:rRNA from 1 species